rnacentral:piRNA from 1 species
UGGCCAGUGUGUUCCCAGCCGAUGGAAGU